rnacentral:rRNA from 1 species
GGUGGGGGGGGGCCUUACCAUGCCAAGUCGAACGAGGUAGCAAUACCUAGUGGCAGACGGGUGAGUAACACGUAGCCCUUCUACCUUUUAGUGGGGGAUAACUAGCCGAAAGGUUGGCCAUUACCGCAUACGAUCUUUGAGUGGCAUCACUUGAAGCUGAAAGCAGCAAUGCGCUAAGAGACGGGACUGCGUCCCAUUAGCUAGUUGGUGGGGUAAUGGCCUACCAAGGCUCCGAUGGGUAGCUGGCUUGAGAGAGCGACCAGCCACACUGGAACUGAGACACGGUCCAGACUCCUACGGGAGGCUGCAGUGAGGAAUUUUCCGCAAUGGGGGCAACCCUGACGGAGCGACGCCGCGUGUGGGAAGAAGGCCUUCGGGUCGUAAACCACUGUCGAAGGGGACGAUAUUGACGGUACCCUUGGAGGAAGCCCCGGCUAACUACGUGCCAGCAGCCGCGGUAAGACGUAGGGGGCAAGCGUUGUCCGGAAUCAUUGGGCGUAAAGCGCUCGUAGGCGGAUCUUUAAGUCUGUGAAGAAAGAC